UUUCUUAUUUCUUUUACAGAUUGCUACGAGGAUUGUAAUAAUUAUGAUUUAACUACAGAAACUGAAGAAGAUAAUCAGCAAGUUUUAAAAAAGCGCAAGCGUACUGCUUGUACAACUUUUAUUGAAGGCGAGGAAGAAGUUGAUGUUGAUAUUAAUACAGAAAUAAAACUAUCUACAUUUCCACAGCCAUCUGCUAAAUUAGGCAAAAUGUUUAACAUCAAAUAUUUCACUAUAUAAAAAGGUUGUGGAUGUGGUACCACAAGGAUAUAAAAGUGAUCAUGCAACUAAACUAUCACCAAUUCCACAGUCACCUGGUCUUUCAAGCUGUUAUUCUAAGAUACCUUCAUUCAAAUCAAGAAUGGUGACUAUACCAAUAGAAAAUAAAAUGGAUCAAUCAAGUAAGAUGUCUAAAUUUAUAUCUUUGAUAUAGACCACCUUCACUUUUAAAUAAUCUUCAGAUUUAGACCUACUAACUUUUACGACUUAUGAACAUAUUUAAUCCUUUAUCCUUUUAAGGAUAAACUUUUUUAAAUCAAAUUUAGGAAAAUUUAGUAAAUUUUCAUUGAAAACAACUUUGCAUAAAUAAUGUAACUAUAUAGUUAUUUACAUUAUAGCUAACCA
rnacentral:lncRNA from 1 species